AGCUUUGCACAGUGGCUGUAUAAUAAUCACUGAGGUUUAGCUGAGGCACAAUUAUUGCUAAUUAAAAACUGUUCCCAAUACCCCAUUGUGACCACUUGCAAUAUAGUCGGCAUUGGAGAUUUUUGACAGUCCCUAUGGAGA
ensembl:snRNA U4 U4 spliceosomal RNA